AUGAUUAGACUUGUUGGUUGCAGUGCUUUCUGGAGUAAUGAAGGAUCCAGUGCACAGGUCUUAAUUCAUUGGGCACAAUCUCUAAGCCAACUCUGCCUGAAUGGGUCCCCUGUUUUUUCUCUUCUGCUCUUGUUGAACCAUAUCUCUGUUCCUCGUGCUCCUGGGAAUUUCUUGCUCUGGUCAUGAAAAAAAUGGAAACUCUCUCAAGGACUAACAAUCAGAGCUCUCUGGUUGACAAGGGACGUUACGGUUGCAAGAAGACCCUGAAGCAAGGAUUCUACAUCAAAGAUUCAGGGGCAAUCUGAGUUUGCAUUUAAGAUCCUUCUGCCUAUAGCAGUAGCUUAUAUGUUAUGUUCAAUUGACGUAUAAGCACUGUGAAGAAAUAUUCUAUUGCAGCCUCUAAUGACAUUAGCAUUGUAUGUUUCAUAAUGUAAUCGUAGAUAGAAAGUUGGUAUAUUUAAUUCAAAUUAUGAUUAUUCUUUAAAAACAAAACUUGAAAAGUCAGUUUAUCUACAUAAUUGGCUUAAGUAUUUGUUGCAUACCUAUUCCAUACCAAGCAACGAGCAAGGUGUUAUAAAAUAAAACAUACAAAAACAAUAUCCCUUUUUACAGGCUAAUUUUUACCAUUUUAAGUAAGAAAUAUAAUCUAAUGCCCUGAAGAGUUAUUCAGUUUAUAUUGGGAAUAUCAUUACUUUGAAUAGAAGAUUUGAUAAAAAUAGAUUAAAACUGUGAGAAAUUCUCAAAAAAAAUUAAAUGACCAUAAUAUUCUCAUCUCAAAAUUAGAGAAGUGAUUUGGCUUAAGCUGUGGAAAAUAAGUCCUUUAGAGUCCACAUUUCCAAGGAGUUGCAAUUGGCUUUGCAUGCGGUGGCUACUCCUUUAUAAAGCAUACUUCUGUGUUCAAAGUCUGUAGCUAGGGGAAAGCAAAUUUAUCCUUCAGCUAAACAAAAGUUCAAUGAUAAGAAAGAAAGUAUAGGAAUUUGUGAGUAUUUUUUUCUCUUCGUGCUUAGGGAAUGCAUGUGCAUUUCUGCAGCAAAGAAGAAAAUUAAAGGAAAACAUUCUCCUCAAGAAUCUUUCUUUGAAUUUCAUAUGUAGACUCAGAAAACAGUAUUGUUAGUGCUAUUUAUUCUGAGUAAUACUUUUCAGUCAGAUGUAAGCUGUUUUUCAAUGUUUUGUUUUGGGGGGGAGUUACUAAUUUAACUAAAACUUUAAAAAGCAAAUAUAAUGAUUACAGUGAAGUAUGUGCUUCUGAACUAAAUUUUCUGUUUGUAUGGUCAAAUAUCAUUUGGAUGGAAUUUUUUCCCAGUCUCCAUUUUCAAAAUCAGUAUAAUUUGUGAAAACUCUUUUGCUUAUCAAUAUAACUAGACAACUAAAGUUCUAAUCUGUCUAACACCUUAGCAUUUUAAUUUGUAUUCAUCUCCCUGUUGGUGAUAUAUUGAUAUUCUUGUUUAAUUAGUGGUAUGAAUGGUAGACUCUGAAGUGUCAAAUUAUUUGCCAAAGUCACUGGGUUAACUCCUUAAAGCUGAUCAGAUGGGCUUUCUUUCUAACAUCCUAUUACAGGAGGUUUUUGUAAACUAGUGGUAUAAACGAUUAUUUUUAGUUAAGAGAAGCCCCAGGAAAGAUUAAAAAAAUGGAAUAAAGACAUUCCAGUUCUUGAUCUUAUCUUUUUCUCAUCUCAACCUUUAGAGAGUCUUGCUGGAAGAACACAAGGAAAGGCAGGAAGGCUUCUUACAGAUCUUUGAGACCUCCUUCCACUCAAAUCCCAGGGGAGCUAGAACGCUAUACCUCUGUGGUUCAAAAAGUCUUUGGACCAGAAAAGGGGCCUUUAUCUGCCAACAUUUCAAACAUAUUCAAUCAAAUAUUGAUCUAGAAAAUCAGUUACUUUUUCCUCUAGCAAAGAGAUUAAAUUAGUACUACCUACUGAAGGCCUACACAUGGUCCUCGGGAAGAUAAUGAUGGUACCCUAGGCUAUUCCUAGGAUCAAAAGUUUAUAUGGACACCAAACUGAUUUAACGUUUUCUGUAAUGCAUGGAGACAAAAGGGUGAAAGAUCUGCUUGCCAAUAGUAAUGUGCUGGAGAUUAUCUCAUGUGGCGAGUCCUUGCAUCAAGAAGCCAGGUUAUGGUUUUCAAAUCCAUCUCAUCUCUGAAAAUAAAAGAAAUGGAACGUGGCCUGUUUCACCUCACUGAAAGGUUUUCAUCACCAGAAAUAUCUGAUGCCUGUUAUUCAAGUUGAUAGUAGCACAUGUUCCUCUGACUCAUAAACAGUCCUUCUCUCUAUUGUGUCCUGUUUCCAAGAAGUACUUAAUGUUAUGUUAUUAAAGAACGGGAGGUUUGCCUGCCUAUUUGUCCACAAAUAGGAGGCUAUCAAAAAUGACAAAAAGCUUUCCAAAUUCUAAAAUCAAUUGGAAUUUCAUGCUUAAUUUAUGAAAUAAUGUGUUCAAGUUGGUGUAUGAUAUAAAAGGUAAACUUUAGCCUCCACAUACUACACAAUAGGGACAGCUCAAUUUUAAUUAGAAAUUUUAGGUUGCAGAGAAUCUCGUCUCUUCCAAAGUACCUAUGAUUUAUUUAUCAGUCACCUUUGUACUCUAAAAAAAAGGAGUUUUUUGAGGUGUCUUUGCAUUUACCUUUACCUAAUCAAGGAAACAAGAAAAGAUUACAUAUCUUACAAAUUAUACACACUCAAAUCUAAAUUUCAUGAGUUAGUGAAAGUAGGAAAAUAAAACAUUACCCUUUUUCCUUUG
rnacentral:lncRNA from 1 species